ACCAUCGUGCGAGUUCAUUAUGUUAAACAAAAUCUGAAGAGAGUUGUGCAUUAUCUUCAACACUAGAAUGAUGAGAUGAUUGUGGCAGACCCCGAUUUAAAUGACAUAGAUCAAACUGAAGGCAUAAUUUUAUGAGACCCCCAAUACAUUCAGUCACGUGGUAGGCCACAUAUAAAUCAAUGUAGAGGAAGAACUGAAUACUACUUAAUGAGUUCACAAUCGCGUGGUGAAUUCAAAACUAGUAAUGAUGGAAAAAUGGUGUUAGAGCGGGUGGCAGAGGGGGUGUAGGGUUGGUGGCGGAAAUCGUGGUGGCAGGAGUGGUGUCAAUCAUGGUGGCAUAGGCAAUGGUAGAAGCGGUCAGCGCAGGGGUAGAGGUAACAGGCUAGGCAAAGAUACAGGCAUAGAGCAGGAUGGUUCUCUUGCUGAGAAUGAGGUAUACUUUUAUUUCUGUAAUUGAUUUAUAAUUUAAACAUAUCCUUUUUUAUAGUGUAUUCUUGAUUUUAAUUGUAGCAAAUUGACG
rnacentral:lncRNA from 1 species